GACAGAGGAUGCAAGCGUUAUCCGGAAUGAUUGGGCGUAAAGCGUCUGUAGGUGGCUUUUCAAGUCCGCCGUCAAAUCCCAGGGCUCAACCUGGGAACUGCAUCCGAAACUGGCAGGCUAGAGUCUUGUAGAGGGGGGUAGAAUUCCAGGUGUAGCGGUGAAAUGCGUAGAGAUCUGGAGGAAUACCGGUGGCGAAGGCGGCCCCCUGGACAAAGACUGACGCUCAGGUGCGAAAGCGUGGGGAGCAAAC
rnacentral:rRNA from 1 species